rnacentral:rRNA from 1 species
GCUGGUGGCUAUGGCGUGGGGGUUACACCCGUUCCCAUCCCGAACACGGCCGUUAAGCCCCACCGCGCGAAUGGUACUGCUGGUUUAUCCGGUGGGAGAGUACGUCGCUGCCAGCU